rnacentral:lncRNA from 1 species
GGCAUUGUCCCCACUCAGAAAUGCUCCAAAAGAACUAAGGAGAAGGAUUAGAGGAGACAAAAUGUUUUUGCUAAAUUCUUGCACUGAAGCCAGAGUUGCUCAGGAAAUAACAGCUCAGUUUGUUAGCUCUGAUCUCUAAUUCCAUCCCAAAUUCAUAACGUUAUUUUUUUUGUUUGUUUCCAUUGUUCAUUUGUUGUGUGCCUCUUAGGAUGUCCCUUUCCAUCUGGGCCUCAAUGACCUUCCCUGGGAAAUGGGGUACUUGUACUUAACCAUACCCCUGCUUCUAAAGACAAACUGGGAAAAUUAAAUGGAAAUUCUAAAAGAAAGCUUCAUCUUUUAGUUCCUUAGAGAACUAGCAUUACAGUUGAUUACCUAGGUGAUGAUUCAAGCUAUUCAACCCUUGUCAUUCUGAAUGUACUUCUCUUCCAGCUUGCCUUGGAAAGAAAAUCAGCCAGUUAAAGAAAGCAUCAGCUGGAACUCUCUCAGCUCUCAGUGACUGCAGAGUGAACUAUGGCAUUCAGCAUAGAAAAUGUUCUUCCAGUGCUCCAAUAAAUAGCAUUCAGUUUUUAGCCCCAGGGAAUUCAGUGUAGCCCUGGUUACUCCUCACUGCCACAGCCAACACUGCUUCCUUGGGUAGGAGAAAUGAUUUAUGGAGGUGAGCAGCCAUUCCAAACUUUAAUUAAGCACGUAAAGAACCAUCAAUUUUUUAAAGGGCACCAACCCAGAAAGAUGAGAGCUGAACUCCUGUAGAACAUAAUUACCUUUCCAACAUUUUAUCUGAUCUCCUUGUUUUACUUCUCUAAGAUGAGCUGAACAACAGCCAAUCAACCACCCCCACAGAAACCAUGGAAAUGCACAGGCCACCCUUGGACCAUGACAUACAGGGCAUCUGACUGAUAGUCCCACCAAGACUGCCUAUGAUCAUUUUACUCCUGCAGAGAAAGAUGUGCCUAAAAGAGAAGCAGCACCUACCUGGAAGACUCAGGAGACAAAGAGGGAAAGAGUGGGACACAGUGGAUUAUGCUCACCCUGAGGGUUAUCUGAGAAGAUUUCUGAGAACCUGAGAGUCUCAAAUGCCUGAGAGGUGGGAGCUGCAUAGAGAGGAACAGAAAUGAAUCCCCAAGAUUUCCUGGGCUGAGCCUAACAGGAUAUGAGAAGCAGAAACUUCUGGAUUGUGAGAAGAAACAAAGGAAGAAGAGAGAUGCUCUAUAGGAGAAAAAUCACAGACAAUAAGUGGGGAGAGCAAGAAGACAAAGUUUUGUUACUUUAAUUCACCACUCCUAUCCCCAGCCACCAGUGGCCAUCCUGUACUGGAUUCUAAACCCAGGGCCCUAA